GGGUGAGGAAGGGGGCGGUGCAGGGAAAUGCACGGAAGUGCGCGGAGGCUCUACCCUGUUGUUGAGAAGGGGCCCCGACAGCUCCAUGAUGAGGAGUGCAUUGACUAGGGUGGCGCUGGAGACAAGGAAUUACAGCGGCACCUUUCAUUCACUCCGUCAACAAAUGUUUAUGCAGGCAAUUUGCAGAAGAAAACAUACGUGGGAUUUGCCGUCGAAGAAAACUAAAUUAUACUCCCUAAAGCUUCCCUUGUAGGAGCCCCGCGCCUCUCCGCCUCUCAGCUUCCUUUUCUGCAAACGGAGAGAAUCGUAAUAACCCUUUCUACUGUGGCUGUGUUGAGGAUUAAAGCAGAUUUGCGAAGGCGCUUUGAAGAUAGUAAGCCAUUAAUACAAACGUGAUCUACUGGCUGCAUGCUAAGCACUGAGCUACAUUGGUCUCAUAAAUGCAUAUGCAGGGCCCCGAGAUGUGGGUGUGCCCACUAUCCCUAUAGGUAUCUUUCGUAUUGUUUUAUUUCUUCGUUGUCUAGCCAGCAACACCCUCAUUAUCUGUUUUUAACCAAAAAAUAAUCAAGCUUAAAAACUAUUAGACACAACACCCCAAGAAAUGCAUUCUCUUAGCCCCACCCCACCUGCGCUAUGUAAACAAUUACUGUACGUACAUGUGUAUGUGUACCUGGUAAAUUAAAUCGGCGAUUCACAAAGCCUUUUUAUAAUACACUAUCUCAUUCUUUGGAAGAAUUAUUCUCCCACGUUAGAAAUCAGCAGCUUCUAUCACUUGAGACAGGGGAGAUGAGUGUGAAGUGUGAUCCCUCCUAUUGGGAUAUCGCCUAACCAACCUAUGGACCGGCUGCUCUCAGCCGGAUAGGAGCCGGCUGGCAGGCAGGGGCUGGAGUGGGUUUAGGGGUUGUUCUCGGUUGUCUCAGAGAAGAAAUCACGUGCAGGAAGCGGAAACCACGCUCGCGAGUGAGUGAGUGGGUGGGUGGCUGCGAGAGUGAUUGAGUGUCUCCGGGAGAAACGGAGACACCAGCCCUUCCUCAGAUACAACAUCCAUGACUAAUUGCCAUUUCUCCCCUCUCCUCACUUCAGCACCAUUUGAGGAGACCUGAGCAGGUGAGAGAAUCCUGUCUCCUGCUGCCUUCCUCAUCUUGCCUUGAAGGAGAGGGUACUCAGAAGCUUGGUUGCUCUGCCAGCCACACCCCGCCCCGGGCCCUCCCCCGGACCUGGCCUGGGCGUCCCCUCAGACCGCGGCUGAGUGGUCAUGGCCACGCCCAGGAGUCGCGAGGAGGCCGCAGCUGGAGUGCCUGAGCAGGGGCCGAAGCGGCUGUACAGGCUGGUGCAGGAAGGCCGGCUGUGUGCCCUGCGGGAGGAGCUGCCGAGGAUGGGAGGUCCGGCUCUGAGGUGCCCAGGGCCAGCGGGGGACACCCUCCUGCACUGCGCCGCUCGCCACGGGCAUAGGGGCAUCCUGGCCUAUCUAGCUGAGGUCUGGGAGAUGGACAUUGAGGCCACCAACAGAGACUACAAGCGACCUCUGCAUGAAGCUGCCUCCAUGGGCCACGGGGACUGCGUGCGGUAUCUGCUGGGCAGAGGAGCCUCUGUCGACUGCCUGAAGAAGGCAGACUGGACUCCUCUAAUGAUGGCUUGCACAAGGAAGAAUCUCAACGUGAUCCAAGACCUUGUGGAACAUGGCGCCAAUCCACUUCUGAAGAACAAAGAUGGCUGGAACAGUUUCCACAUCGCCAGCCGAGAAGGUGACCCUUUGAUCCUCCAGUACUUGCUCUCUGUUUGCCCAGCUGUCUGGAAGACAGAGAGCAAAAUUAGAAGAACUCCUCUGCACACUGCAGCAAUGCAUGGAUGUUUAGAGGCAGUAACGGUGCUUCUUACGAGGUGCCAGUAUGAACCAGACUGCAGAGACAAGUGUGGCGUUACACCCUUUAUGGACGCAAUUCAGUGUGGUCACAUCAACGUAGCUAGGCUGCUGCUUGAAAAACAUAAGGCUUGUGUUGCAGCAGAGGAUACACUAGGGGCCCAGGCUGUGCACAGAGCAGCAGUCACUGGGCAGAACGAAGCCAUCCAAUUCUUAGUCUCUGAUCUUGGCGUUGAUGUAGAUGUGAGAGCAACAUCAACCCACCUCACAGCACUUCACUGUGCAGCUAAGGAAGGACAUACAAGCACAGUUCAGACUCUCCUAUCUUUGGGUGCUGACAUCAACUCUAAAGAUGAAAGAAAUCGAUCAGGAUCGUUUUGAAUGUUGGGUUGAAGAGAAGAACCUGGCUAGGAGGCUAUUGCAAUAAUCUAUUCUAAACAUGAUAAUAACUUGGACCAGAGAGGAGGGAUGGAUGCUGGCUGAAAGCAGAGAAUACCAGAAGGAUGUUUACCUGUGUUUUAUUGACUAUGCAAAGGCAUUCGACUGUGUGGAGCAUAACAAAUUAUGGAUAACAUUGUGAAGAAUGGGAAUUCCAGAACACUUAACUGUGCUCAGGAGGAACCUUUACAUAGGUCGAGAGGCAGUUGUUCGGACAGAACAAGGGGAUACUGAUGGGUUUAAAGUCAGGAAAGGUGUGCGUCAGGGUUGUAUCCUUUCACCAUACCUAUUCGAUCUGUAUGCUGAGCAAAUAAUACGAGAAGAUGGACUAUAUAAAGAAGAAUGGGGCAUCAGGAUUGGAGGAAGACUCAUUAACAACCUGUGUUAUGCAGAUGACACAACCUUGCUUGCUGAAAAUGAAGAGGACUUGAAGCACUUACUAAUGAAGAUCAAAGACCACAGCUUUCAGUAUGGAUUGCACCUCAACAUAAAGAAAACAAAAAGCCUCACAACUGGACCAAUGAGCAACAUCAUGGUAAAUGGAGAAAAGAUUGAAGUUGUCAAGGAUUUCAUUUUUCUUGGAUCCACAAUCAACAGCCAUGGAAGCAGCAGUCAAGAAAUCAAAAGAUGCUUUGCAUUGGAUAAAUCUGCUGCAAAGGACCUCUUGAAAGUGUUGAAGAGCAAAGAUGUCACCUUGAAGACUAAGGUGUGCCCGACCCAAGCCAUGGUAUUUUCAAUCACAUCAUACGCAUGUGAAAGCUGGACAAUGAAUAAGGCAGACUGAAGAAGAGUUGAUGCCUUUGAAUUGUGGUGUUGGUGAAGAACAUUGAAUAUACCAUGGACUGCCAAAAGAACUAACAAACCUGUCUUAGAAGAAGUACAUCCAGAAUGCUCCUUAGAGGCAAGGAUGGCGAGACUGCAUCUUACGUACUUUGGACAUGUUGUCAGGAGGGAUCAGUCCCUGGAGAAGGACAUCAUGCUUGGCAGAGUACAGGGUCAGUGGAAAAGAGGAAGACCCUCAACAAGGUGGAUUGACACAGUGGUUGCGACAAUGAGCUCAAGCAUAACAACGAUUGUAAGGAUGGCUCAGGACUGGGCAGUGUUUCGUUCUGUUGUGCGUAGGGUCACUAUGAGUCGGAACCAACUCAACGGCACCUAACUACAACAACAAUGAGAUGUUAAUGGAUGAUAACAAUUUUAAAUUUUAUCCAUCUCUUAGUUAUCUGCAUUUUAACAGGGAUCAUAUUAUUAAACCAAGAGAAAAAAGCUCUUAAGAUGAAACACAUGCGUCAUUAAAAAUGUAAGAAGGAUUUUUAAAAAUGUAUUUUAGCUGAGCCUUUCCUCAUUUCUUCAUAACUGAGAAGUUUUCUGUGCCUUUCAUAACUCUGUUUUGUUAAUUUUAUUUCCAUCCAGCGUAUCAAAUAGGCCUACAUUUCUUCAAAGUUCAACACCACCACGCAAGUUCCAGCCACUAUCCUCUUGUUAUAGUUACUAUGGGUGCAUAACAAAUUACUCUGAAAUUUAAUAGUGUAAAACAACAAUUUAUCAUGCUCAUGGAUUCUACAGUUCAGGAAUUCAGCCAAGGCACAAUGGAGAUGGCUUGUCCCUUCUCCACAUGACUGGGGUCUCCGCUGAUGACUCGAAGUCUGAAAUCAUUUGAAGCCUCACUUAUGCACAUAUCUGGCAGUUGAUAUAGGCUGUUGUUUGGCAGCCUCAGUUCUUCACAUGGUCUUCUCCAUGUGGGCUAGCGCGAGCUUCUUCACAACAUGGGGUCUGGGGUUCCAAAAGGGAGCAUUCAGUGAGGGAGAGAGAGCUAAGUAGGCAGACGCCAUAUUGCCUUUCAUAAUCUAGCUUUGAAAGUCAUUCAGCGUUACUUCCCCACAUUCUAUUUGUCAAGAGAGUUAUACAAUCUCAUUCAGGUUCAAGGGCAGGAGAAAUAGACUCCACCUCUGAUGGGAAGUGGCAAAGUUUUAGAACAGCAUGUGGGAUUGGAAAUUUUGUGUGAACAUUUUGAAAAGUAGAAUCUACCACAUUUUUCUUGCCUCAUAACUGGUCUUCCUACUUCCACUUUUGUUCUUCCCCUCCUGUAAUUUUUAUACAGCAGCCUGAAAAAGCUUGUAACAGAUUAGCACAUGUCCCUCCCUUACUCAUAACCCUUCACUUAGGAUAAAGUCCAAUCUUCUUACUACUACCUAUAAGUCCCCACACGACCCAGCCCAGCCAGCCUCUCUAUCAGUGUUUUCUACCUCUUCAGUCUAGAUCACACUUUCAUGUCACAGACCUUUUUUCAGUUCCUCAAACAGACCAAAUUUUCCUCCACCCUAAUGUCUUCCUGGAAAAUUCUCUUGAUUUGUCUUGUGGUUUACUCCUAUUCAUCCUUCUGGUCCCAGCCUUAAUGUCACUCUCUCAGAUAAACCUUCCCUGAACUCCCAAUCUAAAAGUAGAACCUUUGUGAUAGAUUCUGUCAUAGCACUUUGUAAUAUUCCUUCAGGACACAGUGAUUCUAUGAUUCUUUGGAUGAUGUCUGUCUUUCCUACAACUCUGAAAACCUACAAGAGCAGGGUCCAUUGCCCAUUUUAUGCUUAGUAUAGAGUCAGUUCUCUAUUAGUAUUUGUUGAAUGAAUGAAUGGUAAAGGAGAGGAGCAAUGAAAAAAAAUUGUCUGUAGCCUCAAAGAUCUAAAAUAUAAAAGAAGAGCAAGACUUACUAUGUAACUACACGAUGGGGCUUAGUGUGAUAAGGGCUAUGAAAGAACUACAAAGGAAGGACUGUAGGAGAAUGCUUCAUAGAAUAAGUGACAUUUGGGCUGGGACUAGAAGGAGGAAAGAGUUUUAAUUUGUGGAGGUGGUGGGAAAGAGUUUUCUGAGCAGAGAGUCAAUAGCAAGGAUAUAUUAUGAUGAAAUUAGAGUUGCCAAAUAAAACACAGGGGACCCAGUUAAAUUUGAAUUUCAAAUAAACUAUUUUUAGCAUAAGUAUGUCCCAAAUAUUACAUACUUUUACUAAAAAAGUGUUUGUUGUUUAUCUAAAGUUCAAAUUUAACAAGGCGUCUUGUAUUUUUUGGAGCCCUGGUGGUGCAGUGGUUAAUUACUAAAUCUGGCAAGCCUAAAUGGAUGCUAAUUUACAUGGCAACUUUGCUUCUUUUUUAAAAGGCAGAAACAAACCUUGAUGUAUUAGCUGAACACAGAAAAAAAUGGAUCAAACUGAAUUUUGAACCCAACAACGUGAUUAAAAAAACCCCAAAAAAACAAAACCCAGUGCAGUCAAGUCGAUUCCGACUCAUAGCGAGCUGUUGAAAUAACCAAACUCAAAAUCUCAGAAGCUUAAUAGAAUAAAGGUUUAUAUUUCUUAUUCAUGAAAAGUGUGAUGCGGAUGUUCCUGGUUGGUGGCUUUCCUAGACAAUUCUCUACUAAGCCAUGAACUCAGGGAUCCAGGCUUCUUCUACUGUGUGCUGUCACCACCUUGGAGUCCUUCAUUUCUGGUCACACAAUCCAGGAAAGAAAAGAGCAGAAAAACUCAGGUGACCUUUCGGUGGGCAUACAUCAACUGUGGCCACAUUCCAUUAGCAAAACUAGCUACAUGGCUCCACCCAGAUGCAAGGAGUGCUGGGAAAUGUCAUCUUCCUGUAUGCCCCAGAUUUUUCUGUCAUUGAGAGCUGGGUGGUAGAAUGGAAAGAGCAGAGGCUUUGUUUCCAGAGAGCUCUGUUUAAAUCACAACGCUGCCUUUCACUAUCCAUGAGACUUUAGACCAUGUUACUUACGUCCCUGAGCCUCAAUUUUCUCAUUUGUGAAAAGGUUAUAAUAACUACCUUGCAGUAUUGUUUUAAGAGUACAGUGCCUGGCACAUAGUAGGCACUUAUGAAGAGCUAUUACUAUAAUGUUAUUAUUUUGUUUGUAAUCUGCCAUUAAAAGUACUUCCAGGGCUUGCUGGAUGAUAUUAGCCUACUCAAUAAGUAACAUGGAACUGUUUUUUUUUUUUUAAUUAAGUAUAUUUAAUUUUUUUAUUGUGGCAAAUAUAUACGUAACAAAACAUUUGCCAUUUCAAUAUUCUUCACAUGUAUACUUCAGUGGCAUUAAUUAUAUGUAUCAUGUUGUUCAACCAUCACCAUUAUCCAUUUCCAAAUUUUUCCAUCCUAGAUUUUAAAUCUAAGAAACCAUCCAGUCCAAUCAAAACUCAAUGAAGUUCAAACACUUCACUAAGUGUCCCAAAAUACAGGUGGCUUCUGCCCUCUUAUUAAACAAAGUGUAACUUUCACCAAAAUGUCCACACUGUCACCUAAACAUUUUCACAUAAAGAUAUUGGGCUGUAACUGCUACUUCUUUUAAAAAGCUGAGACAUUUUCUUUCUUUCUCUUUUAAAUAUCAGUGAGAAUUAUGCCUGGGCUGCAGUUUGUUUCUCAGUCCAGAUGCUUGAAUAUAACCCAGUGAAAGAAAAUCCGAGAAAUGUACUGACCUUUUCUUAUUGGCUCAACAUCGUGCUUAUAACUUCACGAUUGAAUUUUCCCCUCCACAAUUCUUACUCAUUUUUUUCCAGCACAUACGGCACCCCCUACGAUAAUAACUAAACAGUUUUACUGUUCAGAUGUCAAUCUGGACAGAAAGUGGGUUGCUAAUGACAACAGAAAAUUAAACAGCUUUGACCACAUUUCCCCCCUGUUUUGUUUUUUGUUUUUCGAGGUGGUUUCAUUUUGCCGUGUCAAAGAACUCACUAAGGAGACUGAACUGCCAAUGACCCAACAGCAGACCCUGAGAUCACAUAACUAUAAAUCUACUGUGGCCAGCAUCUGCAUUGCUUGGGUUAAUUUAUCUUUACCAUAUUUUUCCAAGUGACAAGGAAGAGGGGUCAAGGAGAGAGAAGCAACUGACUGUGACAUUAAUUUAUCAGACUUCCCCAGCUUUAUGACCCGUUACCACAGGCUUGGCCAGUUUAUUUGCUGGCCUUUCCCUUAUGCCCGUGAACAAAAAUGAGACAGAGGCUUAAAUAAAAAUCUCUCCCAGAUCUUAGGGAUAAAGAAUAGUUUCUACCUUUCUCUUAACGUCAAAGUGGUGUACUUCGUAGACAAAAACCUUCAGAGAUGUUCUUCAAAAUAACCCACAGACAUCUUGAACCAGCUAUGAUUUACAAGGUAUUUUCCCCAAGUAACAAAAUGGCAUUCUCUAGUUUAGAUGUUUCCACAGCGCAAAUCACAAAUGCUACAACACAGCUUGUCCUCCAGGGCAGAUUGGCAAGUAAAUAUUUUCAAGAGUAUGUUGUAAAUGAAAUACCUAGCACUAUAGCAAGGCUCAAAAAAUAGUUUUGACAGAAAUAAGGUUAAUGAUGUAGAGUAUGCAUUCAAGUCAAAUAUUUGAAAGGGUGUUCCCUCAGGAAAAAAAAAAAAAAAAACCCAGAGAAGGAA